rnacentral:lncRNA from 10 species
CUUUCCAAGCCCCUAAACCUUUAUUCACAUCUCCUGAGAUAAGCAAUAUUCAUAAUCUAUGAUGAUCAUUUGCUUGAAUUUCUUUAUACUUUACCAGCUAGGUUCACAACCCUAAACUCCACAGCUUGGUCUGUCCUGCUUUGAACUGUGUAUAGGUGCAGUCCUGUGUGUUCUUCUUGUUCAUGGCUUCUUGCACUAGAUAUCAUGUUUCUGAAAUUUAGUUACAUAGUUGCAUGUACAUGUGAUUCAUUUCUUUUCACCUCUAUAUACUGUUCCACUGUAUGGAUUUACUGUAAUCUUUCAUAUCAUUCAAUCAUCCUUAGUUAAUAUAUAUUUGGGCAGUCUAUUUUUGAGCUAUUAUGAAUAAUACUACUAUCAGCAUUAUUUCACAUAUCAUUUGAUGCAAUUCCUAUUAUGGGGUCAUUAAAUGUGGUGUUCAAAUUAUCCUCACAGACAUAGAAAAGUGCAAAAAAUAAUUUAUCUAAAUUUGUUCCUGUCACCUUUACCUCCAGUCUCUUUAUCGCUAUUUGCAUAUAUCUUAUCAAUAAUAUAUUUAACUCAGCAAGACGCUAUUAUUUUAUUCAGUCAACAUUCAUUUAGAAUUAUGCACAUAUUUAUCAUUUCUGUUAAUUUUUAUUCCUUCUUGCAUGCUUAACCUUGUAUUUUCAAUAUUUUUUAUCUGAAAAAUAUCAUUUGGAUUUCUGUUUAUGAAG